UACAGAGGGGGCUAGCGUUGUCCGGAAUCAUUGGGCGUAAAGCGCGUGUAGGCGGUCCGGUAAGUCCGCUGUGAAAGUCGGGGGCUCAACCCUCGGAUGCCGGUGGAUACUGUCGGGCUUGAGUACGGAAGAGGCGAGUGGAAUUCCUGGUGUAGCGGUGAAAUGCGCAGAUAUCAGGAGGAACACCAAUUGCGAAGGCAGCUCGCUGGGACGUUACUGACGCUGAGACGCGAAAGCGUGGGGAGCAAACAGG
rnacentral:rRNA from 1 species